CACCGCUUCUUUACCUCCGAAAAUGUCAAAAACAUGGGCUUAGUUCUCCGGCGACGUGAAGAUAUCUCGCCGAUCAAUGGAAUAGAUGUCUUCUUCGCUUGUAUAAACACACUAAUCUUCCACCUUCAACCUGAAUCAUCAUCCCUAGAUCUCAAUAAAGAUGUUCAAUGAUAUCGAUUAUUCAUUAAUCAUAUCUCUGAAGCCUAGCGCACAGACUGAAGUCCGACAGAACCUUUACAAAGUGUUAGCCGUUCAUAAUCAUCACUGAAAUUGGGCUUGAGUUUUGGAGAACAAACGGGUAAUCUGUGGAAACACAAAUUAGAAAGAUACGGGUUCAGUACAAACACAAUGCAAACCCAAACUUUAUGCAGGCCAAAUGAAUUACCAGUCCAUCCUGUCAAACCCGCCAUACCCGGAACCGACCCAGUACUACUCGGUACCGACUCACCAUUGUAAACGCAACUAAACACAUUGGUUAUUUAUGAAUGUUCAAAACAAGAAGCCACCCUUCGAAGAGUUUGUGCGGAUGAGAAAGGUGAUGAGAUGCCCCCUAUUUAGGCCAUUAUUGCUUCACCGGAGGCAGAACUCAAGUUGGUUAGAAUGGAGAUUGGAGUACUCAGCCGAUGUGGAUUUUGCUAAUUGGGUGAAGUUCAAUGUGCAAAGAACUG